UCCAGCGACUCGGCGGCGCCUGUUUAGCAAAAGAAACACGCCCGAGACCCUGAGCCAGAGCCCUCAAGGCCAUCUCCACAGUUCACGGAAAGCCCGUGGCCGCAUCCUCACCUGCAGCUUCCGAAGAAGGAUCGAGGCAAAGCCCCUGCGGACCUGCAGCUGGUUGGGAGAACGCUGACCCCGCUCCAGACCUACCGGAUCAGGAUCCGUUACUUAGAAAACCCUCCAGAGAAGCGCAGGCUCAGGUGGAAGUUCUGACGACCGUGGACCCCCAGCAGCCU
rnacentral:lncRNA from 1 species